UCCAUUGUGACUUGACCUCCCUGAAGCACGCUUUCUUCGGCCACUAGAAUUGGGCCGGACUUGGUAGGCUGAAUCGGACGGUCUCAUUUUGUUGAAGAAGACGAAUUAUAGAACCUUGAAAUCUCGGCCAAACUAUGAAGUUAGACCAAAAUGUCUAGGUUGUGGCUGUUUCUGCUUCUACUACUAUCGAAUCUAUUCCGGUUGUCAUGUCCCGAGACCGCCAAUUAGGCCGUUUGGAUAUGUACACAGACCUGCUGAACGGACAAAACUUUUCCCACUCGAACGAAGCGGAAUCAUAUAUCAACCUGUACAAUCUAUAUCUAUACAUUAUUUCCAUAAAUUUGCCAUAUGGCAAUUCCUCCUUCACUCUUGCCCUCUCUUCCCUUUCUGCUUCUUAGUGUUUUGCCUUCUCACCUCUCAUCUCCACCUGAUAUUUCGUCUUCUCACUCGCUCACUUUCUAUUAAUUCAUUCACAUGAUCAAUUAUCAUCUGAACAAAUCGCUUUCAUAAGAAAAAAACGAGUAAAAUAAUAAGAUCUCUUAAUAUAUUUUUUUUUUCAUACUAUUUGUACUUAUUGAUGUCUCUUUGCAACUCAAAAAUUUUUAAAAUUGUUACUUUUUCAAUCGUCUUUUUUUAUAAUAUUAGUUCGCCGCAAUGCGCGGGUAACUUUACUUUAUAC
rnacentral:lncRNA from 1 species